UACAGAGGUCUCAAGCGUUAAUCGGAAUUACUGGGCGUAAAGCGUGCGCAGGCGGUUUUGUAAGUCUGUCGUGAAAUCCCCGGGCUCAACCUGGGAAUUGCGAUGGAGACUGCAAGGCUGGAGUCUGGCAGAGGGGGGUAGAAUUCCACGUGUAGCAGUGAAAUGCGUAGAGAUGUGGAGGAACACCGAUGGCGAAGGCAGCCCCCUGGGUCAAGACUGACGCUCAUGCACGAAAGCGUGGGGAGCAAACAGG
rnacentral:rRNA from 1 species